rnacentral:other from 1 species
UCGGUUCUCGGAUGCGCGAGAGUUCUCGACUAUGUCUAACCUACAUAAAUUACAGGGAAUCCGAUUUGAAUUUGCAGGACGUGGCGUCACUUUAUGUGAAUACCGAAAGCAAACUUAGGAUACCCACCUGCUAAAAGCAGGUUUUAGACAUAAGAGAAUACCGGCAUCUUGGAUAUUUU